rnacentral:rRNA from 1 species
UACGGGGGGGGCAAGCGUUGUUCGGAAUUACUGGGCGUAAAGAGCUCGUAGGCGGUCUGUCGCGUCUGCUGUGAAAACUCAGGGCUUAACCCUGAGCUUGCAGUGGGUACGGGCAGACUAGAGUGCGGUAGGGGAGACUGGAAUUCCUGGUGUAGCGGUGAAAUGCGCAGAUAUCAGGAGGAACACCGGUGGCGAAGGCGGGUCUCUGGGCCGAUACUGACGCUGAGGAGCGAAAGCGUGGGGAGCGAACAGG